rnacentral:rRNA from 1 species
UACAGAGGUCUCAAGCGUUGUUCGGAUUCAUUGGGCGUAAAGGGUGCGUAGGUGGCGGGGUUAGUCAGGUGUGAAAUCUCGGGGCUCAACCCCGAAACUGCACUUGAUACUGCCUUGCUAGAGUACCCGGAGAGGAGAUUGGAAUUUACGGUGUAGCAGUGAAAUGCGUAGAUAUCGUAAGGAAGACCAGUGGCGAAGGCGAAUCUCUGGACAGUUACUGACACUGAGGCACGAAGGCCAGGGGAGCAAA